rnacentral:rRNA from 1 species
CCUACGGGAGGCAGCAGUGGGGAAUAUUGCGCAAUGGGCGAAAGACUGACGCAGCGACGCCGCGUGAGGGAUGAAGGUCUUCGGAUCGUAAACCUCUGUCAGCAGGGAAGAACGGUCACUGUGCUAAUCAGCAGUGAAUUGAAGGUACCUGCAAAGGAAGCACCGGCUUACUCCGUGCCAGCAGCCGAGGUAAUACGGAGGGUGCGAGCGUGAAUCGGAAUUACUGGGCGUAAAGCGCUCGUAGGCGGUAUGUCAAGUCAAGGGUGAAAUCCCCGCGCUCAACGUGGGAACUGCCUUUGACACUAGCAAACUGGUGUGUGUGAGAGGAUAGUGGAAUUCCAGGUGUAGGAGUGAAAUCCGUAGAUAUCUGGAGGAACAUCAGUGGCGAAGGCGACUAUCUGGCACAUAACUGACGCUGAGGAGCGAAAGCGUGGGUAGCAAACAGGAUUAGAUACCCGUGUAGUC